rnacentral:rRNA from 1 species
AGUGAACGCUGGCGGUAGGCCUAACACAUGCAAGUCGAACGGCAGCACAGUAAGAGCUUGCUCUUACGGGUGGCGAGUGGCGGACGGGUGAGGAAUACAUCGGAAUCUACUUUCUCGUGGGGGAUAGCGUAGGGAAACUUACGCUAAUACCGCAUACGACCUACGGGUGAAAGCAGGGGAUCUUCGGGCCUUGCGCGAUUGAAUGAGCCGAUGUCGGAUUAGCUAGUUGGCGGGGUAAAGGCCCACCAAGGCGACGAUCCGUAGCUGGUCUGAGAGGAUGAUCAGCCACACUGGAGCUGAGACACGGUCCAGACUCCUACGGGAGGCAGCAGUGGGGAAUAUUGGACAAUGGGCGCAAGCCUGAUCCAGCCAUACCGCGUGGGUGAAGAAGGCCUUCGGGUUGUAAAGCCCUUUUGUUGGGAAAGAAAAGCAGCAGGUUAAGACCCCGCUGUUCUGACGGUACCCAAAGAAUAAGCACCGGCUAACUUCGU